GAUGAACGCUAGCUACAGGCUUAACACAUGCAAGUCGAGGGACCGGCGCACGGGUGCGUCACACGUAUCCAACCUGCCCUUUACUCGGGGAUAGCCUUUAGAAAGAACGAUUAAUACCCGAUAUAAAGGAUGGGGAUGCGUUCCAUUAGGUUGUUGGUGAGGUAACGGCGAAUCAAGCCUUCUAUGGAUAGGGGUUCAGAGAGUAAGGGCCCCCACAUUGGAACUGGAACAAGAUACAAACUCCUACGGGAGGCAGCAGGGAGGAAGAGUGGACAAUGGGCUGUAGCCUGAACCAGCCAAGUAGCGUGAAGGAUGAAGUAGUAUGGGUCGUAAACUUCUUUUAUAGAAGAAUAUGUAUUAUAUGAAUAAGGAGCGGCUAACUCCGUGCCAGCCGCCGCGGUAAUUC
rnacentral:rRNA from 1 species